rnacentral:rRNA from 1 species
AGAGUUUGAUCCUGGCUCAGGACGAACGCUGGCGGCGUGCUUAACACAUGCAAGUCAACUUGAGGGGGCAACUCUGAUGGUGGCGAACGGGUGAGUAACGCGUAGAUAACCUGCCCUUUAAUCUGGGAUAACCUCGGGAAACUGGGACUAAUACCGGAUAUUAUCUUUAGAUGGCAUCAUUUGGAGAUGAAAGACUUAUAGUCGUUGGAGGAGGGGUCUGCGUACUAUUAGCUAGUUGGUAGGGUAACGGCUUACCAAGGCGAUGAUAGUUAGCUGGUCUGAGAGGAUGAUCAGCCACACUGGGACUGAGAUACGGCCCAAACUCCUACGGGAGGCAGCAGUGAGGAAUAUUGCACAAUGGGGGCAACCCUGAUGCAGCAACGCCGCGUGAGUGAUGAAGCAAUUUAUCUGUGUAAAGCUCUGUUGAUUGGGACGAAAUUUAGGGUUUGCAGCCUUAAUUGACGGUACCAGUUGAGGAAGCUCCGGCUAACUCCGUGCCAGCAGCCGCGGUAAUACGGGGGGAGCAAGCGUUGUCCGGAUUUAUUGGGCGUAAAGGGCAUGUAGGUGGUUCUUUAAGUCAGUUGUUAAAACUAUCGGCUUAACCGAUAAUUGCAAUUGAUACUGGGGAACUUGAAUUUGAGAGGGGAUAGUGGAAUAUCAAGUGUAGCGGUGGAAUGCGUAGAUAUUUGAUAGAACACCUGAGGUGCAGACGACUAUCUGGCUCAUGAUUGACACUGAGAUGCGAAAGUAUGGGGAGCAAACAGGAUUAGAUACCCUGGUAGUCCAUACCGUAAACGAUGGGUACUAGGUGUCUGGGGACUAACCCCCUGGGCGCCGUAGCUAACGCGUUAAGUACCCCGCCUGGGGAGUACGAUCGCAAGGUUGAAACUCAAAGGAAUUGACGGGGGCCCGCACAAGCGGUGGAGCAUGUGGUUUAAUUCGAUGCAUCGCGAAGAACCUUACCUGGGCUUGAACUGUGUGUGACAGUGGUAGAGAUAUCAUCUUUGGAGCAAUCCAACACAUAUAGAGGUGCUGCAUGGCUGUUGUCAGCUCGUGUCGUGAGAUGUUGGGUUAAGUCCCGCAACGAGCGCAACCCUUAUUGUCAGUUACCAGCGAGUAAUGUCGGGGACUCUGAUGAGACUGCCCGGGUUAACCGGGAGGAAGGUGGGGAUGACGUCAAGUCCUCAUGGCCCUUACGUCCAGGGCUACACACGUGCUACAAUGGGCGGUACAGAGUGUUGCUACUCCGCGAGGAGGUGCUAAUCACUAAAACCGUUCUUAGUUCGGAUUGCAGUCUGCAACUCGACUGCAUGAAGUCGGAAUCGCUAGUAAUCGCGGAUCAGCAUGCCGCGGUGAAUACGUUCCCGGGCCUUGCACACACCGCCCGUCA